rnacentral:rRNA from 1 species
GGUUAAGCGACUAAGCGUACACGGUGGAUGCCCUGGCAGUCAGAGGCGAUGAAGGACGUGCUAAUCUGCGAAAAGCGUCGGUAAGGUGAUAUGAACCGUUAUAACCGGCGAUGUCCGAAUGGGGAAACCCAGUGUGAUUCGUCACACUAUCGUUAACUGAAUACAUAGGUUAACGAGGCGAACCGGGGGAACUGAAACAUCUAAGUACCCCGAGGAAAAGAAAUCAACCGAGAUUCCCCCAGUAGCGGCGAGCGAACGGGGAGCAGCCCAGAGUCUGAAUCAGCUUGUGUGUUAGUGGAACGGUCUGGAAAGUCCGACGGUACAGGGUGAUAGUCCCGUACACCAAAAUGCACAGGUUGUGAACUCGAAGAGUAGGGCGGGACACGUGGUAUCCUGUCUGAAUAUGGGGGGACCAUCCUCCAAGGCUAAAUACUCCUGACUGACCGAUAGUGAACCAGUACCGUGAGGGAAAGGCGAAAAGAACCCCGGCGAGGGGAGUGAAAAAGAACCUGAAACCGUGUACGUACAAGCAGUGGGAGCACCUUCGGGUGUGACUGCGUACCUUUUGUAUAAUGGGUCAGCGACUUAUAUUCUGUAGCAAGGUUAACCGUAUAGGGGAGCCGCAGGGAAACCGAGUCUUAACUGGGCGUUAAGUUGCAGGGUAUAGACCCGAAACCCGGUGAUCUAGCCAUGGGCAGGUUGAAGGUUGGGUAACACUAACUGGAGGACCGAACCGACUAAUGUUGAAAAAUUAGCGGAUGACUUGUGGCUGGGGGUGAAAGGCCAAUCAAACCGGGAGAUAGCUGGUUCUCCCCGAAAGCUAUUUAGGUAGCGCCUCGUGAAUUCAUCUUCGGGGGUAGAGCACUGUUUCGGCUAGGGGGUCAUCCCGACUUACCAACCCGAUGCAAACUACGAAUACCGAAGAAUGUUAUCACGGGAGACACACGGCGGGUGCUAACGUCCGUCGUGAAGAGGGAAACAACCCAGACCGCCAGCUAAGGUCCCAAAGUCAUGGUUAAGUGGGAAACGAUGUGGGAAGGCACAGACAGCCAGGAUGUUGGCUUAGAAGCAGCCAUCAUUUAAAGAAAGCGUAAUAGCUCACUGGUCGAGUCGGCCUGCGCGGAAGAUGUAACGGGGCUAAACCAUGCACCGAAGCUGCGGCAGCGACACUAUGUGUUGUUGGGUAGGGGAGCGUUCUGUAAGCCUGCGAAGGUGACCUGUGAGGGUUGCUGGAGGUAUCAGAAGUGCGAAUGCUGACAUAAGUAACGAUAAAGCGGGUGAAAAGCCCGCUCGCCGGAAGACCAAGGGUUCCUGUCCAACGUUAAUCGGGGCAGGGUGAGUCGACCCCUAAGGCGAGGCCGAAAGGCGUAGUCGAUGGGAAACAGGUUAAUAUUCCUGUACUUUGUGUUACUGCGAAGGGGGGACGGAGAAGGCUAUGUUAGCCGGGCGACGGUUGUCCCGGUUUAAGCAUGUAGGCUGAUUGUCCAGGCAAAUCCGGAUAAUCAAGGCUGAGGUGUGAUGACGAGGCACUACGGUGCUGAAGUAACAAAUGCCCUGCUUCCAGGAAAAGCCUCUAAGCAUCAGGUAACAUCAAAUCGUACCCCAAACCGACACAGGUGGUCAGGUAGAGAAUACCAAGGCGCUUGAGAGAACUCGGGUGAAGGAACUAGGCAAAAUGGUGCCGUAACUUCGGGAGAAGGCACGCUGGUGUGUAGGUGAAGUCCCUGCGGAUGGAGCUGAGACCAGUCGAAGAUACCAGCUGGCUGCAACUGUUUAUUAAAAACACAGCACUGUGCAAACACGAAAGUGGACGUAUACGGUGUGACGCCUGCCCGGUGCCGGAAGGUUAAUUGAUGGGGUUAUCCGUAAGGAGAAGCUCUUGAUCGAAGCCCCGGUAAACGGCGGCCGUAACUAUAACGGUCCUAAGGUAGCGAAAUUCCUUGUCGGGUAAGUUCCGACCUGCACGAAUGGCGUAAUGAUGGCCAGGCUGUCUCCACCCGAGACUCAGUGAAAUUGAACUCGCUGUGAAGAUGCAGUGUACCCGCGGCAAGACGGAAAGACCCCGUGAACCUUUACUAUAGCUUGACACUGAACAUUGAGCCUUGAUGUGUAGGAUAGGUGGGAGGCUUUGAAGCGUGGACGCCAGUCUGCGUGGAGCCAACCUUGAAAUACCACCCUUUAAUGUUUGAUGUUCUAACGUUGGCCCCUUACCGGGGUUGCGGACAGUGUCUGGUGGGUAGUUUGACUGGGGCGGUCUCCUCCCAAAGCGUAACGGAGGAGCACGAAGGUUAGCUAAUCCUGGUCGGACAUCAGGAGGUUAGUGCAAUGGCAUAAGCUAGCUUGACUGCGAGCGUGACGGCGCGAGCAGGUGCGAAAGCAGGUCAUAGUGAUCCGGUGGUUCUGAAUGGAAGGGCCAUCGCUCAACGGAUAAAAGGUACUCCGGGGAUAACAGGCUGAUACCGCCCAAGAGUUCAUAUCGACGGCGGUGUUUGGCACCUCGAUGUCGGCUCAUCACAUCCUGGGGCUGAAGUAGGUCCCAAGGGUAUGGCUGUUCGCCAUUUAAAGUGGUACGCGAGCUGGGUUUAGAACGUCGUGAGACAGUUCGGUCCCUAUCUGCCGUGGGCGCUGGAGAAUUGAGGGGGGCUGCUCCUAGUACGAGAGGACCGGAGUGGACGCAUCACUGGUGUUCGGGUUGUCAUGCCAAUGGCACUGCCCGGUAGCUAAAUGCGGAAGAGAUAAGUGCUGAAAGCAUCUAAGCACGAAACUUGCCCCGAGAUGAGUUCUCCCUGAGACUUUAAGUCUCCUGAAGGAACGUUGAAGACGACGACGUUGAUAGGCCGGGUGUGUAAGCGCAGCGAUGCGUUGAGCUAACCGGUACUAAUGAACCGUGAGGCUUAACCUU